CGAGAAAGCCCGCAAGGGUGAGUAAAGCGGCGCACGGGUGCGUAACACGUGGGUAAUCUGCCCUAGAGUCCGGAAUAACUCGCCGAAAGGCGUGCUAAUGCCGGAUGAGACCUCGGGAGCCUCGGCUCCUGCGGGAAAAGGUGGCCUCUGUAUACAAGCUAUCGCUCUGGGAUGAGCCCGCGGCCCAUCAGCUCGUUGGCGGGGUAAUGGCCCACCAAGGCUACGACGGGUAGCUGGUCUGAGAGGACGAUCAGCCACACUGGAACUGAGACACGGUCCAGACUCCUACGGGAGGCAGCAGUGGGGAAUCUUGCGCAAUGGGCGAAAGCCUGACGCAGCAACGCCGCGUGUGUGAUGAAGGUCUUCGGAUCGUAAAGCACUGUCGCGAGGGACG
rnacentral:rRNA from 1 species